GGUGGAUGUGAUAAACAAAAAGCGCCUCAAUGACUUUUGAAACUUGCUUCCAAUG
rnacentral:rRNA from 1 species